rnacentral:SRP_RNA from 1 species
GCUAGGCGUGGUGCUGCACGCCUGUAAUCCCAGCUACUUGGGAGGCUGAGGCAGAAGAAUCACUUGAACCCGGGAGGCAGAGGUUGCAGUGAGCCGAGAUUGCGCCACUGCACUCCAGCCUGGGUGACAGAGUGAGACUCUGUCUAAA